rnacentral:rRNA from 1 species
UCUUAAUCCGAUAAUCCGCGUUAAUUUUUUCUUUCCUUUAAAGCAUUUAUAUCGCCGUCCAAAGAAACAAAUAAAAUUUUGCUUCGAAAGAGACCAAUCUACUACGUCAGGUCGAAAUAAAGCCUAUAGGAAAGUGAACCGAGUUACAUAUUUUCCUUAUUAUUAUAUUUCAUUCCAAAGAAUGCAUAACUAGGAUUUGACAGUAAUAUUAAAAUAAUUUCUUUAUAUGAAAAUUUUAUCAAGGUGUACAUAUCGCCCGUCACCCUCAUCCAAAGAUGAGGUAAGUCGUAACAUAGUUAAUAUACUGGAAAGUGUAUUAAGGG